GACGAACCGAGCGAACGUUAUUCGGAAUCACUGGGCUUAAAGGGCGCGUAGGCGGGUCAGCAAGUCAGGGGUGAAAUCCCACGGCUCAACCGUGGAAGUGCCUUUGAUACUGCUGAUCUCGAGGGAGGUAGGGGCGUGCGGAACUUCCGGUGGAGCGGUGAAAUGCGUAGAUAUCGGAAGGAACACCGGUGGCGAAAGCGGCGCGCUGGACCUCUUCUGACGCUGAGGCGCGAAAGCCAGGGGAGCAAACGGG
rnacentral:rRNA from 1 species